rnacentral:rRNA from 1 species
AUGGCCAUGAGUAUGGCAACCGGCGCCAUGGGCUCCCUGCUGCCCAAGCUGGUCGAGCUCCUCAAGGACGAGUACAAGCUGAAGGAGAGCAUUAAGGAAGGCGUCAGAUCUCUUGAGCAAGAGAUGAAGAGCAUGCAAGCUGCGCUCCGCAAGGUGGGCGAGGUGCCACGAGACCAGCUCGACGAGCAGGUCAAGAUCUGGGCAAGGGAGGUGAGGGAGUCCUUCAAAAUGGAGGACAUCGUCGACAAGUUCUUGGGGAAGACUCGCCAUGAGAUCGCUGAUGCAAUCAAGAGCAUCAAGAAGCAAGUACAAGAUGUUGCUGAGAGGCGUGCAAGGUACAAUGUCGAUAAUAUCGUCGCUAGCCCUCCUACUGUGACUUCCAUAGAUCCUCGCCUUGGGGCUCUGUACACGGAAGUGACAGAGCUUGUUGGCAUUGCCGGAACAAGGGACCAAGAGGUAAUGAAGUUGAUCUCGGAGGGGGAUGGCAUGUCCAAGAAAAAGUUGAAGAUUGUCUCUGUUGUUGGAUUCAGAGGUUUAGGCAAGACUACUCUUGUCAAAACAGUUUAUGAAAAUAUCAAGGGAGAUUUCAAUUGCAGUGCUUUUGUUUCUGUUGGUCGAAAUGCCGAGGCAAAGAAGGUUUUCAUGGACAUCCUUCUUGAUCGUAACAUGAAGAAAAUCCGUGAUGAUCUUGGCAUGAACGGAAGUCAGUUCAUCAUGUUGGAUGAGGGACAACUCAUCGACCUACUCCGGGAAAGUCUCGUGGACAAGAGGUAUAUACAUGUCAUCUCUUGCCCAUCAUUUUCCAUGUUAAACACCGAUCACAUCAACUCCCCUCUAUUUCUAUCUCUCAUGCCCUCCUCUCCCUACUUCCUUGAACCCUUACCCCUCCCUACUACUAGCUCCAUCUAUUUUCUCCUCCACCCGGGCCAGAAGUACCUCAUUGUAAUUGAUGAUAUAUGGGAUGAGAAAUUAUGGACAACCAUCAAAAGGGCAUUCUCUAAGGCUAAUGGUUAUGGCAGUCGGCUAAUCACGACAACUCGUAUAGUCAGUGUAUCCAAAUUAUGCUGCUCGUCUACUAAUGAUUCGGUUUAUCAAAUGAAACCUCUUAGUGAUGAUGAUUCCAAAAGGCUCUUCCAUAAACGUAUAUUUUCUCAAGAGAGUGGAUGUCCUCAUGAGUUCGAAGAUGUGUGUAAAGGCAUAUUGAAAAAAUGUGGUGGUGUGCCAUUGGCCAUCAUUACAAUAGCUAGUAUUUUGGCUAGUGAUGAAAGAGCAAAUUCACUGAAUGAGUGGCAUGUUUUGCUAGAGUCUAUUGGUCGUGGACUUAAUGAAGAUCCCAGUGUAGAGGAGAUGAUGAGGAUACUAUCAUUUAGUUAUUAUGACCUUCCUUCACAUCUGAAGACAUGCUUAUUGUAUCUAAGUUUGUUUCCAGAAGAUAGCAGGAUCAUGAAAGAUCAGUUGAUAUGGAUGUGGAUUGCUGAAAGCUUUGUCCAAUGUGAAAAAGCAGAAACUAGUCUCUUUGAGGUCGGAGAAACUUACUUCAAUGAGCUUGUGAACAAAAGCUUGAUCCAGCCGGGCAUUGUCCGCAGAUGGUCCCUCCAAAAUGCUAGAAAAGAAGAUGGUCAAACCAGGCCUCUCAGGUCUGAGAGUAUUGGGCAAGCAAGCUUUGUUGUUUUGCGUGUAUUAGAUUUGGAUGGAUAUGAUGGUACUAAGGAGGACCAUCUCAACCUUCAAGAGUUUGGGAGUUUGCUUCACUUGAGGUACCUAUGUCUAUCUGGAAGAAGAUUAGGUGACUUGCCGGAAGAGAUUGGAAAGUUGCAGUUUUUGCAGGUGUUGAAUUUGCCUAGAGGUACAAGACUGCCGUCGACUGUGAUUAAGCUCACGGGAUUGUUGUGCCUAUGGAUUAAUGGUGGGAGGUUUCAACCACCAGAUGGUUUUGGAAACCUGAGAUCAAUGGAAGUGUUGAGUAAGAUAAAAGCUGGCUCUGUAAGCAUUGUGCAAGAGUUGGGCAGCAUGCACAGCUUGAGGGAGCUGAAUAUUCAGUUUGUGAGUUCAGGGCUGGUAGAAUCUUUUGUGAAGUCAUUAGGAAAAAUGCAAAAGAUCCAGCGUGUAGAAAUCAGUGCCAAGUGUGAGCGUGAAGUUUCAAUGGAUCUUUUGGAGGAACAUUGGGCGCCCCCUGCAAGUCUCCGCGAGUUUAUCAUGCUCAAAGGCAUCAGAUUAUCUAGGCUGCCGGCAUGGAAUCCAUAUCAUCUGCCACAACUCUCCAAAUUAAAAAUAAGUGCAGGGGAUGUGGGACAGGAGGAUCUGGGAUUCCUUGGAGGGUUACCGGCGCUUCGGAUUCUCUGGCUACUGAGCGAUAACCAAAGGCCGCUACUCUUCAGCGCCGAGGGGUUCCGUUGUUUGAAAACAAUCAGCUUGGUUUCCAAAUCACCGAGCCAAAUAUUGUUCAAGCCAGGAGCUUUGCCCAAGGCCGAACAAGUUACUGUCUUUAUCAGUUUGCGGGCGGCAAAAGACGAAGCAGCUGGCAACUGUGGUGAUUGGUUUGAGCUGGGCAUAGAGAACCUGCCGUCCCUUCGGGCCGUCGUUGUCAUUUUCUUCCGUUCGGGAGUGACGGUCGGGGAGGCCAGGCUAGCCAAGGGUGCGCUAGAGAACGCCAUCCUUGCCCAUCCUGGGUCCAUCCGCAGCAUUCACAUCCGCUUCCAUAAGUCCAUACCAGAAGGUAGUAAGUACGUCAUUAAAACCGAUGAUGCCUUUAUGCUUGCAUGCAUGGUUGUCGUUACUGAAUCACUGACCGGCCUUUCUUUCUUCCUUCCUUCCUUAGAUGCUCGUGCUGAGGAUGUCUACACCAAUGACGUUGACAGCAGCGAUCGACGAUGA